UGACAUGGGUGCUCGGAAAAGGGAAUUCAGCAGCUGGGAGAACAGCGACCUUGAAGACUGCAUAUUCAAAACAACAGUGGCCAUAGCUCUGGUAAGCAGAAACAAAACUGACCCGACUCCAAUCAACAAGUAGACUCCUAUCAGCUUCAAUGUUGAAGUGUUGGGAUUGUCGACAUUGGAAGCCAUCCAUGUGUUUUGUGAUAUCUGACCACCAACAAACAUCAGGUGGCUUGCAGCAGCUAAGGCGAAGUAGAGGUAUCCUUUGUUCUGACUCAGGUACUGAAUAUAAGGCUUGAAUCCUGUGUCCCCUACUUCCCUUUCUUCCUGCUUAAUCAGUUGAUCGCCUUUGGCUAGCACCUGAUUUUGUUGGUUUUCCACGUAAGUUUUCUUGAUCUCCUUGGAAGUUGAUGAUCCUUGUUUCUGUGCUUCAGUAACUUCAGCAAGUCUUUCGGAGCCUCCUGCUGUUUCCUUAUGUGCGUUGACGAGAUCCUGAAACUCUUGGCUUGAUGCCAAUAACUCUUGGUAAGGAGCUGCUUGCAGGAUUUCUCCAUCUGACAUCAACUGUCACAAACAAAAUAGAAAAUUGUCAUAUGCUCUCAUUUCUGAGCAGAAAAAAAUAUAAUCGCAGAAAGGCUUACCAGGACAGCAUCAAAUGUUGGCAAGAAGUCUACUUGAUGGGUCACUAGAAACACUGUCUUCAUCGAGAGUGCCUCCAUAACAUAUUCCUGAAAGAAAGUUUCAGAGUCAGAAACACUUGAAAUGACAGCUAUAAUGAAGGCUAAAAGGAAUUUUUUAUACUGCAGAAACAAGUGGACGAUGUUUCGGUUACAUUGAACAGGCUUGUAGCAGUGUGGGCAUCCACAGCACUGAAUGGAUCAUCCAGAAGGUAAAUGUCAGCAUCCUGGUACAGUGCACGAGCCAGUUGAAUACGCUGUUUUUGGCCACCACUCAGAUUGACCCCUCUCUCACCGAUCUCCGUCAGAUCUCCGUACGGCAGCAGCUCGAGAUCCUUCACCAAUGAACAUCUUUCAAGAGUGUCUUCAUAUCUCUGUUUAUCCAUUGCAGACCCGAAUAAGAUGUUAUCUUGUAUACUUCCUGUCUGGAUCCAAGCUGUUUGGGAAACAUAGGCAAUGCUGCCAUGAACCUGAACCUGUAGUUCAUCAAGGUAAAACCCCUGUGUAUUAGGGAUGGCUGUUGCAUCCAAAACAUGUAUUUGCAUAAUCUGAAUCCUGAUGUAGUGUAUUGAUUCAGACCGAUUAGUUGUUUUAGGUUUUGAUUCAAACUCGUUAAUGAAGAUUCAUAUUUUAAGAUAGAAAUUGAUAUUUUUGUUUCUGGCAGGGGUUGGAAAUACCUACAUUUCCCCGAGUGUUUGGAACCUCUCCGAGAAUCGCUGCCAAAAGGGUUGAUUUCCCAGAGCCGACUUCACCACAAACAGCGACCUUUUCCCCAGGUCUGAUUUCCAAAUCCACAUUCUUGAGUGUAGGCUUUGAAGAGUUCUCUUCCCAUGAAAAAUCUGCAGACUUGAUUGAAAUGGCAUGGCUGCUGCUGUCAACUCCUCCACCCAGAUUGCUCCUUUGCCUAACAUUCCCAUUCUCCAACUCCGGAGCCUCGAGGAACCUCACAAUCCGAGCGAACGCCACCUUCGCUUGGAUCACCACGCCGAUAACGUCAGGGAUGGACCUAACAG
rnacentral:lncRNA from 1 species